GAUGAACGCUGGCGGCGUGCCUAAUACAUGCAAGUCGAGCGAACAGACGAGGAGCUUGCUCCUCUGACGUUAGCGGCGGACGGGUGAGUAACACGUGGAUAACCUACCUAUAAGACUGGGAUAACUUCGGGAAACCGGAGCUAAUACCGGAUAAUAUAUUGAACCGCAUGGUUCAAUAGUGAAAGACGGUUUUGCUGUCACUUAUAGAUGGAUCCGCGCCGCAUUAGCUAGUUGGUAAGGUAACGGCUUACCAAGGCAACGAUGCGUAGCCGACCUGAGAGGGUGAUCGGCCACACUGAAACUGAGACACGGUCCAGACUCCUACGGGAGGCAGCAGUAGGGAAUCUGCCGCAAUGGGCGAAAGCCUGACGGAGCAACGCCGCGUGAGUGAUGAAGGUCUUCGGAUCGUAAAACUCUGUUAUUAGGGAAGAACAAAUGUGUAAGUAACUAUGCACGUCUGGACGGUACCUAAGCAGAAAGCCACGGCUAACUACGG
rnacentral:rRNA from 1 species